rnacentral:rRNA from 1 species
AGAUUGAACGCUGGCGGCAGGCCUAACACAUGCAAGUCGAGCGGCAGCACGGGUACUUGUACCUGGUGGCGAGCGGCGGACGGGUGAGUAAUGCCUAGGAAUCUGCCUGGUAGUGGGGGAUAACGCUCGGAAACGGACGCUAAUACCGCAUACGUCCUACGGGAGAAAGCAGGGGACCUUCGGGCCUUGCGCUAUCAGAUGAGCCUAGGUCGGAUUAGCUAGUCGGUGAGGUAAUGGCUCACCAAGGCGACGAUCCGUAACUGGUCUGAGAGGAUGAUCAGUCACACUGGAACUGAGACACGGUCCAGACUCCGUACGGGAGGCAGCAGGUGGGGAAUAGUUGGACAAGUGGGACGAAAGCCUGAUCCAGCCAUCGCCGCGUGUGUGAAGUAAGGUCUUCGGAUUGAAAGUCUAGUUUAAGGUUGGAAGGAAGGUACAGUUAACCUAA